rnacentral:rRNA from 1 species
ACGCUCGACACCUACGGGAGGUAGCAGUAGGGAAUCUUCCACAAUGGACGCAAGUCUGAUGGAGCAACGCCGCGUGAGUGAAGAAGGUCUUCGGAUCGUAAAACUCUGUUGUUAGAGAAGAACACGAGUGAGAGUAACUGUUCAUUCGAUGACGGUAUCUAACCAGCAAGUCACGGCUAACUACGUGCCAACAGCCGCGGUAAUCUGAGCGGGCUGGCAAGGC